UCCCGCGUAAACUAUCACGGCUUCACGUUGAGACACGAUGCUGGGACGCAAUACCGAAAGGUGAAGUUACAGGUGGUCUAGAACCUCUCACCAUAAACCCUGCGCCCCACCAGCGCAACGGUUGCGAUCAGAGCAAUCCGGUUCCCAAGUUGCUAACUACUUGCUUUUUGGGCCGCCGGGUCUGGCUGGAAAUGGAAAAAAUGAGACCACGGACCCUGCUGGGAAGGAGGCUAGGUCGCAAAAUCCCUCAUGGCAAGUGUCUGUAGCCGUAAACGGAGGCACCCCGUUCAAGUCUGUUAUCACAAAGCCGUAAAUGGCGGAGGACGUUAGCCCUUGCCGUCUGCAGAGCCGUGGCGGCAAAAGGCCUGAGGCUGCGACUCCCAAGCUGUGUCUCCCCCAGCCGUCAACCAUGAAUGCCUUUGCCUGAUGGAAACGGCCGAGGUGUUUGAUAAUGCCAACUUAUUUGGCACCCUUCACCCCAUGGCUUUGGCGAACCCCGCAGUGCAAUGCCCCCGGGGCUCAGGUAUGCAUGGCGCACAGGGCCGCAAGGAGCUCGAUGGUUAGCAAGGUGUUUGGGGCUCCGAACGUCGACUGCGCCAGCUGCCUCUCAACAACGGCCGAUGUGGCUACUGCGCCAGUCGCUUAUCAAGAGAUCUGGGAGGGGGGAAUCGGUAAAAAAACGUGAUGCAGAGGUAUCGUAGGUGGGAAUGGCAGCCCACGCGUACCUGAACGCCUGGAUGGCAAACGGUACGCAGGCACAACGACGCGACAGGCCAAACAGCAAUUCAGCUUUAGGAGAGCACGUGUAGUACAGGUGCCUAUAGUUCAUUUUCGGGAGCAAAAGCUGUGGAGACCAUCUGGCGGUAUCACCGUUUCAGCUGUGUCAUCCGCGAGGCCGUUUUCCGUUGGCUUUUAGGCGAUUUGUUCGAUGCCCAGUCGUCCGAUGCCCGAUAUGGAGCCUAAUUGAGAACGUACUUCAAACCCAUGGAACAUAUGCUGGAAAAAAAUCAAUGCGCAC
rnacentral:lncRNA from 1 species